GACAGGGGUCUCGAGCGUUAAUCGGAAUUACUGGGCUUAAAGGGUGCGUAGGCCGGCCCGCAAGUGCUUUGUGAAAUCCCAUGGCUCAACCAUGGAACUGCUUCGGAUACUGGCGCGCUUGAGGUUAGUAGAGGUCACUGGAACUGACGGUGGAGCGGUGAAAUGCGUAGAUAUCGUCAGGAACGCCAAUGGUGAAGACAGGUGACUGGGCUAGUUCUGACACUGAGGCACGAAAGCGUGGGGAGCGAACGGG
rnacentral:rRNA from 1 species